rnacentral:rRNA from 1 species
CCCUUAGAUGUUCUGGGCCGCACGCGCGCUACACUGAUGAACGCAACGAGACGACCUGUACCGAAAGGCAUGGGUAAACUUGUGAAAGUUCAUCGUGAUGGGGAUAGAUUAUUGCAAUUAUUAAUCUUCAACGAGGAAUUCCUAGUAAGCGCGAGUCAUCAGCUCGCGUUGAUUACGUCCCUGCCCUUUGUACACACCGCCCGUCGCUCCUACCGAUUGAAUGCUCAGGUGAGCCAUUCGGACUUUCAUCAUGCUGGUUUCCAGUUUUGAUGAAGGAAAGUCUUGCGAACCUUAUCAUUUAGAGGAAGGAGAAGUCGUAACA